rnacentral:rRNA from 1 species
AGUGAACGCUGGCGGUAGGCCUAACACAUGCAAGUCGAACGGCAGCACAGUAAGAGCUUGCUCUUACGGGUGGCGAGUGGCGGACGGGUGAGGAAUACAUCGGAAUCUACUUUUUCGUGGGGGAUAACGUAAGGAAACUUACGCUAAUACCGCAUAUGACCUACGGGUGAAAGCAGUGGAUCUUCGGACCUUUCGCGAUUGAAUGAGCCGAUGUCGGGUUAGCUAGUUGGCGGGGUAAAGGCCCACCAAGGCAACGAUACGUAGCUUGUCUGAGAGGAUGAUCAGCCACACUGGAACUGAGACACGGUCCAGACUCCUACGGGAGGCAGCAGUGGGGAAUAUUGGACAAUGGGCGCAAGCCUGAUCCAGCCAUACCGCGUGGGUGAAGAAGGCCUUCGGGUUGUAAAGCCCUUUUGUUGGGAAAGAAAAGCAGCAGGUUAAUACCCCGCUGUUCUGACGGUACCCAAAGAAUAAGCACCGGCUAACUUCGUG